CGGGUGAGUAACGCGUGGGAAUCUGCCCAAUAGUCGGGGACAACCUGGUGAAAACCAGGCUAAUACCGGAUGUGGUCUACGGACUAAAGCAGGGGAUCUUCGGACCUUGCGCUAUUGGAUGAGCCCGCGUUAGAUUAGCUAGUUGGUGAGGUAAUGGCUCACCAAGGCAACGAUCUAUAGCUGGUCUGAGAGGACGAUCAGCCACACUGGGACUGAGACACGGCCCAG
rnacentral:rRNA from 1 species